rnacentral:sRNA from 1 species
UUACAUUUUCAGUUAUUGAAAUAGAUGCACACAGUUAGCCAGAGGGUAAAGGAAAUGUUGAAAAUUUCUCGGUGCUUGCCUGGUGAGCCCUGCAUGGGGUCAUGGUGCCAUGGGGCACACUGACAAGGGAUUUCAUGUGAUCAGGUCUCGUUUCAGUUCCUCCCUGCCUUUCUCUGUCUUCAUCUGUCCCUCUGCAGAGUGAAAGCAGCAGCAGUAGCAACAUCUCCACCAUGUUGGUGACACACGAUUACACGGCAGUGAAGGAGGAUGAGAUCAACGUCUACCAAGGAGAGGUCGUUCAAAUUCUGGCCAGCAACCAGCAGAACAUGUUUCUGGUGUUCCGAGCCGCCACUGACCAGUGCCCCGCAGCUGAGGGCUGGAUUCCAGGCUUUGUCCUGGGCCACACCAGUGCAGUCAUCGUGGAGAACCCGGACGGGACUCUCAAGAAGUCAACAUCUUGGCACACAGCACUCCGUUUAAGGAAAAAAUCUGAGAAAAAAGAUAAAGACGGCAAAAGGGAAGGCAAGUUAGAGAACGGUUAUCGGAAGUCACG